CUCUGAAAUGCAUCAACAAAGUAUAAAGUGGAGAGAGCUAGGCUGUGAAACGCAUCAGCAAAGGUACAGGGUAAGACCGAAACAAUGACCUCCAGGAGAGAGACAUGACCAUGUGAUCUUCAAUAGUGUAAUUCAAUUCUGAAAUAGCAGUAGCACCAGGUAAACUAUGUAAGACAGAAACAGUGGUCUCCACAAGUAUAGAUAUAUACUACCAAGACCAUAUGAUUUUCAGUAAUGUUUACAUAGCAGCAACGGCAACUUCCAAGAUGCAAUAUCUUCACACAAGUGGGUUCUUCCACGCAUAUUUAGUUGAAUGAGUUGUUUCUUGUAGUCAGCAGCUCCGCAGGCUAUCAGAAAAGGGGUGGCGGGCCGCCAGGGCCCGGUCGUCUGAAGAGAGGGCCGCAGCAAUCUUGGAGCAGGCAGCAGCAGCACAGGAUAUAGAAGCUGCAGAAGAAACACAUGUUCAGAGUUGCAGCUCUAUUCAUAUAUAAAACAGAAAGGGUUAAGAGGGGCAUCAUGGCUUGGAAUUGAAGCUUGUGAUGGUGCUAAAAAAUUUACACUUGAUCCCGAAACCACGCUAAUCUUCUGCCAGCGUGAAUAGUCCGAUAUUUUAGAAGGAAAAAAAUGACAUGUAUCUGAAUGACUUGAUGAUCUUCAUUAGUUAGCUGAGAAUUCAACUUACCAGGAUCCCAAGAAUCCACCGAGCCCAGGCCCCCAAGAACCAGGGCCACCAGGAAACCCAGGCCCACCAGGUGGAACCGGACCCCAGCCUCCAGGGCCCCAUCCUGCAGGGCCUCCCCAGCCCGGUCCUCCAGGCCCAUGCGGAUCCAUCCUACCCUGAAUUGCUCCUACUAAAUUGAAAAAUAGAAGUUGAACUGCUACUGAAUGGUAAACUAGAGCUUCACAACUCAAUCCAGAAAGAACAAACCGAGACUUGGUGCAGCAGUUUGCGGUGAAAAAUUUAUAGAUUUAGAGUGAGAACUGGUAGUUGUGCAUGUACCUUCUGUUCAAUGGCUCACCCACUGGUCUAUCUUACUUCCAUUUCAACUACUGUUCUCUGCUUACUAUUGCAGCACUACACGGACAAUUUGAGCACUAGAGAUUGAGUUCUAAACCACUUUGUUUCAUAGCAAAAAUAGUAUGUAGACAUCUGAAUCUAGCAGACCCAUCUAGCUGAUUUUUCUGAAGCAACACCAAAAUCCAACAACAAACAAAUUGCAAAUGUAAGGUGCAGGACUAGCGUAUAGUUUUGUCCAUUUAUCUUCUGUUUGUUACAAACAGAAGCUUCUAAAAAGUUGUGAAUACUUCCCUUACCUGAAGAUAUAUAACAGAGUUGUAAAUCUAAAUCAGACAAACAGCUACUGGUGAACAACUUCGUUCUCAAUCAGGUGCAGACCAAGUCGGCCAGGCAACUUAGAGGUGUUCAAAGCAUGGGUUGCAGACAGACUAAACUUGACAUGUAUACGUACAGUUAAGCUUGAUAUACUACUCAGGAUUUGACAAUUUGACCAGCAAGAAAAUAGCUGAAUAAUUGAGAUAGCUAGCAUAGGUUUUCGUCUGUGCAGCAAGCUGACCUUGUCGAAGAUGGGCAGACGCAUCUGUGCGUGCCCCACAGCGACCCGCACAUGCCCUCCACAUCAGCACAGCUCCAGGAGACAUCAAUUUUUCAGGGGCAUUUACGGUUGACUGAAGCAAAAACUUUGGUAUGCAAAAGAGCACAGCUGAAUUUAUAAAGAGCAAUUGUGCUACAAACAUCACAUGAAGCCUUUAUCCAAAAUGGUUAAUGAGUAAAUUGAAAUAACAAGAGAUGAUAUUUGCAAACUUGAACAGAAAAAUGUAAUAAGAUGUUCAUAGAUUUUCAGGUUGUGGUACCAGUAUUUUCUAGAAGAAUACUACUACAACCAUGUCUAAUUCUCGCUAUAGUGGUGAGCUUAGUUUCCACAAGUCCUACCUAACCAUCUCCAUCAUUUUUCUGAAUUAUUAGCUCCUGGGCAAAGGGCCAGUAUAUGACAUUGGAACCUAACCUAAAUUAUCAUUAUUUAUGCAAGAAAUCAAGAAGAUUUGGAAUCAUUUGUUAGAGUAAAACAUGUCCAAAUCCUGCAAGAGAUAAAAUUGUUCCAACCUAUCAUGACAGACACACGUAAAAAUGGCCGCAAGGCAUUCAGCUCCCUGAAAUGCAUUAUGAUGCAAUAUGGAAGCAUUGAAUUUAACCAGCUACAACAAAAGGUACAAACAGGAAACACACUAAAAAGAACGGACUGUUAGGAGGACCCCUAGAUAAAUAACAAGUACCGAGAAGACCACUAGAUAAAUAGAAUAAAGCAAGUACUCAUCCCAAGAAAAUAGAGACGUGAAGCAGAUCAAUUAAAAAAAUACUUCAAAAGCAGAGCAAAAUGGUAUGAAAACUCCCAAGAUUCAAUAUCUUCACACAACUGCGUUCUUCCGCGGAUACUUAGUCUAGAAAUUGUUCCCAAGUGCAUUGUUUCUUGUGGUGGAUAUGACCCGCAGAUCCACAGGCUAGAAAGGAGGCGGCGGACCGCCAGGGCCCGGGUGUCCGAACAGAGGACCGCAGCAACCUUGGAGCAGGCAGCAGCAGCACAGGAGGUAGAAGCUGCAGAAGAAGUGUUCGUCCAGAGUUUCAGAUGUACCCUUGUACAACAAAAGAGAUUCAGAGUUACAAAAUUAAACUACUAGUACAUGCUUCAUCCCUUGGGAAUUGUGAUUUUAGUUGGUGCUGAAAAUAUUACACUUGAUCCCCGAAACACUAAUCAUGCAAGUGAAUAGACUGAUUUCUUAGAAUAGACUGAUUUUUUAGAAGAAAAACAGUUGACGUGCUAACUGACAUGCUAACUGAAUGAAUUGAUGACCUCCAUUAGUUAGCUGAGAAUUCAACUUACCAGGAUCCGAUGAACCCGCCGAACCCAGGCCCCCAGGAACCAGGGCCAGGGCCACCAGGAAACCCAGGCCUCCCAGGUGAAACCAGAUCCCACCCUCCUCGGCUCCAUCCUGCAGGGCCUCCCCAGCCCGGUCCUCCUCCAGGCCCGUGCAGGGUCCAUCUCGCGAAGAUAAA
rnacentral:lncRNA from 1 species